CAAUUCAUAUCACCACAGUAACUUACCAUUGUGCUUCAUUUGGUUGGUGUGAUGGAAAAUUAAGAGGAAUGAGAAGGUUGAGGGAUAUAAAAGGUUAAAUAAUGAUUUGACAGUUGAACAUUUAGAUUGUGGUAACUAGGUUUUCAUAGCAGUUACAUGAACUUUUCAGAUUGUGGAAUUUUGGUUCUUCAUAAUUAUUUCUUAUUCCCUAUCCGAAGUAAAACAUAACGUGUUAAAAUGAAGACUCAAAACUCUGUUAGUAUAACACUUGUUACCGGGUGUUGCAUAUUUGAAAAUGUUGCCAUCCCUUGUGCUUAAUUGACUGCAUUAGUUAGGAACUGACUUGCAUCCUAACAGAAGCUCGUAUAAAUGCUAACUAUUCUUUAUUUAUGUUGAAGGUUAAACUAUACUCAAAGCAUAAUAGGAAAACCAAUUGAACAGAUUGAAACAGACGUAAGGCUCGCCAAGUACUUUAGUCCAAGUGAAGCAGUUGAAUAUGGCAUUAUUGAUAAGGCAAAAUGACAUCUGGAAGGAAUGGAGUAGCUGAUUUAACUUUUAUGGUAGUUCUCUUUACACCUUGCUCCUGCUUUUUGAUUAUUAUCUUGUUACAGUUGUUGGGUUGCAAUGAGAGUGAUUGAAGAGAGGCCUUGUUGGUUGGUAGAACGGUUAUACCUUUUGUUGCUCACUAAUCCGUCCCUCUUUCAUCCCCACCUCACCAAGUGUAGGAAGGAGAUUUUGAGUCAUAGUGUUGGAACUAUGAAUCACACACACAGAUGCUUUAGUUUCUCAAUCCCAACAGUGUAUUAUUUAUCAUAUUUUAAGUGGAUAUGACCCACCAAUUGAAAGAGCA